rnacentral:tRNA from 1 species
GCGGAUGUAGCUCAGUUGGUUAGAGCGCCGGAUUGUGGAUCCGGAUGUCGAGGGUUCAACUCCCUCCAUUCGCCCCA